rnacentral:rRNA from 1 species
AGGAGGCAGCAGUAAGGAAUAUUGGGCAAUGGGCGCAAGCCUGACCCAGCCACGCCGCGUGAGUGAUGAAGGCCUUCGGGUCGUAAAGCUCUGUGGGGAGGGACGAAACUCCGUGGCCUAACACGCCACGGACUGACGGUACUUCCUUAGCAAGCACCGGCUAACUCCGUGCCAGCAGCCGCGGUAAUACGGAGGGUGCAAACGUUGCUCGGAAUCAUUGGGCGUAAAGCGCGCGUAGGCGGUACGGCAAGUCGGGUGUGAAAGCCCUCGGCUUAACCGAGGAAGUGCAUCCGAAACUACCGAGCUAGAGUACCGGAGAGGGUGACGGAAUUCCCGGUGUAGAGGUGAAAUUCGUAGAUAUCGGGAGGAACACCAGCGGCGAAGGCGGUCACCUGGACGGAUACUGACGCUGAGGCGCGAAAGCGUGGGGAGCAAACAGGAUUAGAUACCCCGGUAGC